ACCCGAAACUAGCCGUUGCCCCUGGCCCAAGACCAUUAUUUAAUCCCUCUCUUUCGGCUAAAAAUGAUGAGCUCAGCCCCACCCAUGGUCUUCUUUUCCUUGUUUCCCGCCGACAUGGUGACCCUCCUCAUAAUAUAAACAACCCAUAUUUCUUCUCAUUACCAGCUUUGGAAAAAAAAAAAAUAUUGAAGCCAUUUUCGCCGGGCCCCGGCAGUAGUGGGCAGGCUAGAGGGAGCCCCUUCACACUCAUUUUUUUGCUUCUCCCUCCCGGCCAUUUUUUUUUGCUUUCUUAGCCGAAGCCACCGAACAGCCCCUCCCCCGUUUGGUUUUUGAAUUUUUCUCCCCGAUUUUUCUUCUCCUGAAGCAAGACAGCAGCCACCCUUGUAUUUUUGGACACCGGCCAAACAGUCCCUUCCCCCCAAACCGCCGCUCAUUUUUUUUCUUUCUUUUCUUCCUUCCCCUCCGGGCGAUUCCACCGCCAGCCUCUCCUCCAGCGCUGCCCCCUCACAAAUCCACCACAGCAGCCCCUCACCAGAAUCUCCUUCAUCGCAGCCCCCAUCUCCCCGUCAUCUUCCCUUUCGGCCUGCACACAGAGCCGCUGCUCCUUCUCCCCUCAGCCACGGUCUCCUAGCUUCCCUUCAAUCGGCCACAAAACCCGCGGUCAUCUUCACAGCCACCGUGGAACAGCCGCCUCCAGCAUUUCCUUCCUUCAGCAACAACAUCAGCACCGACACCACCCCCAGAUCGCCCAAGAGGAGUGAAGAUCGGACCGCCGUACCCUCUCCAUCGCAGCUCCACCGUAGCCAUCACAGGCCACCAGCAGCUACACGGCGGUCGACAGCAUCUCACCCCCAGCUCCGCUGCCACCUGAAACAAAGAAGGACGAGACAGCAAAGGAUGGGAAACCGAUCUGCAAAGAGAGAAGCAGAUCUGCAAAACAAAAAAAUUAAAACCCGAUUGCUGUUUGUGAGUUCUUUUUGUUGUUGCAGGUGGCGGUGAUCUUCACCGCCGGCGUUGGGAGGCUGAGAAGAGGGAGUCGAUCCAGCCCCCUUGCUGUUGGGUUUUCUUGAGGCGGCGCGUGGACCCACGCGCCGCCAGUGGCGUUGGUGCGUGGAUCCACGCGCCGGAACUGUUCACGCAGCCCCAGGAGUCCUUCCCUGUAAUUUCUGGAGUUUUUAGGGGCCAUUUUGUAAAUUUUAAAGUUUUAAUGUAAUUUUUGUUUAUUUAUUUUAAAUUUGUAAUAUGUGAAUGUAAAAGAAAAAAAGAAAAUAAAUAAUAAAAAGAGAUGUGUGCUUGUUUGUAUUUUUAUUUAUGUUAUUAAUUUGUAAAAACAAAAGAAGGACAAAAAGAAUUAAUUGUUAAUUUAAAUAUGGUUAAAUAUCUCAAGGAC
rnacentral:lncRNA from 1 species